rnacentral:tRNA from 1 species
GGUGGCGCUUUAGCUCAGUAGGUAGAGCAGGAGACUGAAAAUCUCUGUGUCCGCGGUUCGAUUCCGCGAGGACAGCC